ACCCUUUAAUGUUUGAUGUUCUAACGUGGACCCGUGAUCCGGGUUGCGGACAGUGUCUGGUGGGUAGUUUGACUGGGGCGGUCUCCUCCUAAAGAGUAACGGAGGAGCACGAAGGUUGGCUAAUCCUGGUCGGACAUCAGGAGGUUAGUGCAAUGGCAUAAGCCAGCUUGACUGCGAGCGUGACGGCGCGAGCAGGUGCGAAAGCAGGUCAUAGUGAUCCGGUGGUUCUGAAUGGAAGGGCCAUCGCUCAACGGAUAAAAGGUACUCCGGGGAUAACAGGCUGAUACCGCCCAAGAGUUCAUAUCGACGGCGGUGUUUGGCACCUCGAUGUCGGCUCAUCACAUCCUGGGGCUGAAGUAGGUCCCAAGGGUAUGGCUGUUCGCCAUUUAAAGUGGUACGCGAGCUGGGUUUAGAACGUCGUGAGACAGUUCGGUCCCUAUCUGCCGUGGGCGCUGGAGAACUGAGGGGGGCUGCUCCUAGUACGAGAGGACCGGAGUGGACGCAUCACUGGUGUUCGGGUUGUCAUGCCAAUGGCACUGCCCGGUAGCUAAAUGCGGAAGAGAUAAGUGCUGAAAGCAUCUAAGCACGAAACUUGCCCCGAGAUGAGUUCUCCCUGAGACUUAA
rnacentral:rRNA from 2 species